rnacentral:rRNA from 1 species
AAACGCCUCAGUUCGGAUUGUAGUCUGCAACUCGACUACAUGAAGCUGGAAUCGCUAGUAAUCGCAGAUCAGGAUGCUGCGGUGAAUACGUUCCCGGGUCUUGUACACACCGCCCGUCACACCAUGGGAGUCGGAAAUGCCCGAAGCCGGUGACCCAACCAAAAGGAGGGAGCCGUCGAAGGCAGGUCUGAUAACUGGGGUGAAGUCGUAACAAGGUAGC